GUCACAACUCGCGAAACGUAUAAAGUGACCAGGUUAUUUCGAGUUUUCAGCAAUUAUAGUUAAAUUAAUAUAGUUCGUUUUUAAUGUAAUCUUGAAAAACAGGUAUAAUUUGCCAUGGAAUCAGGAUUUAACAAAGCAAACUGCAGUAAUUUGUCAAAAAUUGACGUAGUUAUGCUUGACAAUUUUUUUGCAUUGAACACCUACUUUUAUUCAUCGAAAGUCGACAGGGUUAAAACUUAUAUCCAAACUCAUUAUUUUCAUUUUCUGGCUCCGCUGGUUAUUCUUCUCAUAAAAAAAAAUGUAAAAAAAUUGGAAUACAUGUUUUGUACAAUACCUAUACUAAAUAACUCACUUAACAGGUAAUUAUUGAAAAAAAUUGAGUCAUUACAAUAUUUAACUUGAUGUCGAAUCCAAUCCUACACACCACUAUGGAGCUUAUCUUUAAUAUUAUUCAAUAAUAAUUGUUUCUAACUAAAAAUAAUAAGGAAAUUUUAAAUAUUUUCGCUACUAACAUUAAUUUACAAUAAUGGCAUUAAAUAUUUUUGGCAAUAUCCGGCGUUCCGAUGUCUGAUCGUUCCCUAACCUCCGAAUUUGUAAUUGGCGCAGUCAAUAGGAUCUCUAAUCAUCAAAGUAAUUUUUGUCAUUGUCGCAGUCAGUAAAAUUUGUGUCAUUAGUGUCAGUGGGAUUAGCAAUUUAUGACGAGUGUGAACAUUUUACGAUAUUUCAACGUUAGUCAAUCUCAGCAAUGGCCUAAAAAUGUCCAUAAACAACAAUUAUUUGUUGGCUUAUAGACUCAGCGUUCAAUUCAUAACAAAAUCAUUGAUAGUUGUCAUUUUUUUAUACAUCGCGCGUGUCAUUAUUCUCGUUAUGUGUAUCGGUAAUUGGCGCAGUCAGUAGGAUUUGUGACGGGUGUGUUUCAAGUCCGGAACGAUCACGUACCGUCAAGUAUAUUCGAGAAAGAUCAAGGAGAAGAAAUAGAAAUUUUUUAGAGGAACUUCGAACAUAAAUUAGAAUCGAAAUAAUUGUUUUAGAGGUAAUGUUUUGCACCUUAUUAAAGUUUGAUUAAAAAAAUACAUCUAACGAUCAGAAAUCGAAGCUAUUGUAUUCGGCAUUAAUCACCUAUCGCGAAGUGUUUGUGAUCGAUUAUUGGUGUACUUUUUUUUUUAAAUCUAAUCAAAUACUGAUAAGGUUUUAGUUGUUUUUUUUUUUCAUCUAAAAGAUUUGUUGAUGAUGUAGGACUGACUAGUUGGCUAACUGUUAUCUUUGGACGCUUCUAAAGGUUUUGGAUCAGAUUCGUGACCUUGAGUACUGCUGGAUUGUACGAGAAUCGAAGAUAACGCUUCUAAGGACUGCCUAACCUAAAAAAAAAAUCAAUUUUUUUUUAUAAAUCGUUUCAGUUUACUUAUCUGUCGCAAUAUUUACCUGAGCAAUUAAAACCAAAUUCGAAUCUAAGAAAUUAUUAACGGCUCCCGCUGAUUUCGAAUGCAUUUGGGAAUGCCACUGCAAGAGGUCGCUGUAGACAUCGUUAGAGCCUUUGAUCAUGUUCUCGUGGAAUACCAUUGAGUAUUUGUUUUGUAUUUUGCUAAUUCGAUAAAGUAAUAUACCAGCUGAGAAAAAAAGAAGAAUGAGCAAUAAAGUUGUGGCGCACAAGAUGAGACUCUGACGUGGUAAUUUGCGAAAUUCUAUUAUAGAUUGUUUAAGGACGCUAAUAAAGCCUGCAGAGUCGUAUUGCGUGCCUAAAAAAAUCGGAAAUCACCAUCAAACUCAAAGUACGAAUUAUCUGUUAUUUAAAAAAUUAUUUUUCACCACUUAUACCAUGUAUAAUAUCGAUAUAUAUUUUUUAACGACUUUGUAAACCGCCGAUUCACUUAAAAAUAUUAGAUAAUGCAUUUUUUCUAUUCAACAUUUCGUUCGUACCCCGUAUAAACAGUUACGUCAUCUUUAUUAUAUAACGCAGUCUGUUAAUGAUAUAGUAGCAAGUCGGUGACGCGAUACUGAAUUAAUAUCAAGAAAUUUCCAAUUUUUUUUUUUCAAAUUUAACGUUUUCAUUGAAUCGUUAUUAAAUAUAAUGACGUUUAGGUUACAAUUGCCGUUAUGGACGAUAAACGGAACGUCCACCUCUACUAUACGUUAAUAUCGUCAUGUUGCCAAGUGUAAAUAUUUUCAAAGAAUGUUCGGAAAUAAUUAAAAUUGACGUUAAGAUUUGAUAGUAAAGUUAAUAAUAAAUUGAAUUAUUACCAUCUACGUCACUAGGUCGACGUCCUUUAGGAAUAAUUUUAACUAGAGAAAAUUUAGGCUUUAUUUCGAUAGGCGGCGAAUCCCUACCGCUUUCCGCUUCUACUGAAUCACUGGAAUCCAAAUCCGGUUCCUGAAAAAUAUCCGGAAAUAACUCGAAAUGCAAUACGGUAUGGAAUUUAUCGGAAUUUUUUUCUACUUACUUCGAUUUCCGGCUCUAUUAUAACGGGAUAUGCAUUUUUGGCUUUCUGCCAUACCGUUCUCAUGUAUAUCAGCGUAUUAUCUCUCGAUAUUAAACUACCGAAUACGUGCUUAUCCUCGCUAGUCGAAACACCGACGGCGUUAGGUAUUAUCCUGGCUGUUUUUUCUUUCGUUAUAUUUUCUACAGUAAGUAUCGGAAUUAAGAGCUACGAAACAAAAAAAAACAAACAAAAACAUUCGAUCGUUUAACGUAAAUUCGCCCACGUAAAUACCUACGAACAGAUCCGGACUGGCUACUAAUCGAAAAUACUUCGCCUUUCCGGAUCUGCGUGAAGGGUGAAUAAUAAUCGACGAAAUAUCAACUCACCUUGGUAACAUAUCCGAAUACGUUGGAAUAAAAAGCGAAGUAAUUUUUAGUAAUAUAGAGGUGGCCCUGUAAUAAAAUAUCUCCGAUAAGUGCGCACGAAUAAUGAUUCAAUACUUUUUCGUCGUCUUCGACGUUGGGAAAAUGUCGAAGGAAUUUUUUUUGUCGCGCUUUCGAGGUGGUGCGAAUUUUGGGGUCUUUGGUUGUUUUAGGACUAGGAGGUUCGGUAAUUUGCGCCUGCGCCGUCAUCACCGGCGUCGACGUCGACAGAUGUUUCAAAGACGCUCUACAACAAAAUAAAUUACGUCAUAAACAUCGAGGAUUUCGAACAGAUUAAAAAAAAAAAGAAAA